GCCUAAUACACGCAAGUCGUAACGCUACUCUCGGUUUAGAAUUGAAGGAGUUUGCUCCUGAUUGAUAAACAUUUGAGUGAGUGGCGGACGGGUGAGUAACACGUGGGUAACCUGCCCUAAAGUGGGGGAUAACAUUUGGAAACAGAUGCUAAUACCGCAUAAAACCUAACACCGCAUGGUGUAGGGUUGAAAGAUGGUUUCGGCUAUCACUUUAGGAUGGACCCGCGGUGCAUUGGUUAGUUGGUGAGGUAAAGGCUCACCAAGACCGUGAUGCAUAGCCGACCUGAGAGGGUAAUCGGCCACACUGGGACUGAGACACGGCCCAGACUCCUACGGGAGGCAGCAGUAGGGAAUCUUCCACAAUGGACGAAAGUCUGAUGGAGCAACGCCGCGUGAGUGAAGAAGGUUUUCGGAUCGUAAAACUCUGUUGUUGGAGAAGAAUGUAUCUGAUAGUAACUGAUCAGGUAGUGAAGGUAUCCAACCAGAAAGCCACGGCUAACUACGUG
rnacentral:rRNA from 1 species